rnacentral:misc_RNA from 1 species
GGAAGCAAAAGUCGUAACAAGGUCUCCGUUGGUGAACCAGCGGAGGGAUCAUUACCGAGUUUACAACUCCCAAACCCAAUGUGAACCAUACCAAACUGUUGCCUCGGCGGGGUCACGCCCCGGGUGCGUCGCAGCCCCGGAACCAGGCGCCCGCCGGAGGGACCAACCAAACUCUUUCUGUAGUCCCCUCGCGGACGUUAUUUUUACAGCUCUGAGCAAAAAUUCAAAAUGAAUCAAAACUUUCAACAACGGAUCUCUUGGUUCUG